UUUUCACUCGGAUCCACCUUUCCCCUUCAUUCUCUCUCAUCUCUCUCACAACUCACAUCUCACCAGUCUCUCUCUCUCUGUGGCGAUUCCAGAUCCAGAUCUGGAUCUAGGGUUUCUCUGCUAUCUCUCUCGCGAUCCAAGCUAUUCAGAUCCGCCUUUCCAUCAAGAUUGAAGCGGUGGACAAAGAUUGAAGCGGCGCGAGCUAGGGUUGUUACGAGACUCAGGUUAACUCCAGCAAGAAUUCCGGUAAGCCUCGAUUAGUCGAUUCAGUUGCAUGUUCCUUUUUAAGUUAGAUCGGCAUAUGUUGUUUCGGUUGAAGCUAUUUCGAAGUUACAGAAGUCUGGUGAGGCUCCGGCGAGUUCUCCGGUGACUGAUGAAACUUCGUCUAUAUCUAAAGCGGCCUUUGGCUUGCUGGUUAGUGGCCCUUCAGGGCAAAUGACUUGGAUUCGAGGCGGCCCAACAAGUUUGGAUAUUAGGAAUAUAAAAGAGGCUAUUGACGAAUGGAAGCGGUGGUGGUGACUACCGACGGCGGAGAUGACCUCCGGUCGCCGGACAAGUGAUGAUUGACGAUGAUAGUUGCUUGGGUGCUGGUCUACCAAGUUUGGAUGCAACUGGAGGUUUGGUGAGGUAAUUCGGUUCAAUAUGCGUAUGUUUGGAACAACUACUGUAAACGGCAGGUUGAAAGGUGGGCAAAACAAUACAUUGCUUCUACUGGUGAAGGAAAAUCCGAAAGGAACCCUAAAAUGUUAACAUUGAUUGAUUGGAUACGUAAAAAUAUUUCGUCUGAAGAUUCUUCAGGAAGCACGGCAGGUCUUCUCCACGGUGAUUUUCGGAUGGAUAAUUUGGGUUUUCAUCCUAUUGAGGAUAGAUUAAUUGGUAUUCUUGAUUGGGAGUUAUCAACUCUCGAAAAUCAGAUGUGUGAUAUUACAUACAAUUCUAUGCUAAACUACCUUUUGUUUAUGAUACUAAACUCACAUUUGUAAAGUCGAAAUAAGCCCUUUUAUUUUGUUUUCUUUCUGCCAGUUGUAUAUUGCAGAUUUUUCACAGGGUAAAGUGAAACAUAACAAUGGUUUUGAACUCGACAUUUCUGAAGGAGUUCCUUCUUUAGAAGAACAUCUUGCAGACUACUGCUCUGCUGCCAUAAGAUCAUCUCAGAUGAUGUUAAUUAUUCAUUUAAUACACAUAAUGGAUUACUAACCGUAACAAUACCUAACGUUAUUUUUUAUUUUAUUUUAGGGAAGACAAUGGCCUGUUGCCGGUUGGAAGUUUUAUAUCGCAUUUUCACUUUUUCGUGGUGCAUCAAUCUUAGCUGGUGUCCAUAGUAGAUAUAUCAUGGGUAAUGCAUCAGGUGGAAAGCGCGCUCAAGAUGCAGGGGAAAAAGCCAAUGGUCUUAUACAAAUUGCGUGGUCUUAUAUACAAAGGGAAAAUGUUCUGUCACAAUCCUCCAUCUGUUACAAAAGGAAAAGAUGAAGGGCUGGAAAGUGGAGGGAGAUUUAUUCCGAAUAAAAAAUGAUGACAGUGAUCUGGUUUCAGGAAUUUUCCUACAUGGCCUUGUUAGUUUUGUGGCUCUAAUUCAACCUGAUCUUCCCAUCUUCAAGAAAAGGGGUGUUUGGGAGAAACACAACGCCUAUGUGAGGGACAUACUCUAUUGGACCAAGGGUUAGAUUACAAGUCAAAUAGGUUCAGGAGUAAAAAAAAGAAAGAGGCCGGCUUGGUUUGGGCCACCCCACAAACCGCUUUGUGUCCAUUUUUUAAAAUAUGUAAAGUUAGGGAAGAGCAGUUGGUACUUGGUACCGAAUCAUACCGUAUUGAUUGAAUUUGGGUACCAAUUCAGUACCAUUUUUGAUGUUUUUCGGGAUCUGGUUACUGUACGGUAUCUUACGCACUUUUUACCUUUGAAUACCGUACUGUACCGAUACCGGUUUCUUAUCGAACACUUUUGAUACCAGUACUGGUACCUAUUUUUGACGAUUUUCGAGAUCGUUACGUUACUUUCGGUACCCAUAUAAAUUUUAACAGUUAGUUUCGAGCGACUCUCAAACCUCUUUUUUUGUCCAUUUUUUUAAUUAUGUAAUUUCACUAAGUGUGAAUAUGAUUACUAAAUCUAUAUUUUAUAAUAAAAAACUUAAUUUCUAAUAAACCAACUUAGGAGGUUGUAUAUAUUGUAAUACACUUGUGUUGACUUUUGACCUGUUAUCGUUUUUUGUGCAGGAUACCAUGUAUGAAAUGAAGCUUUACUCGACUAUGUGGCAAUUACGCUUAGUGUUGGGGUGCUGAGCUUAUAGAAGAAAUCGGUUUAGAUUGGGUUGAUUUAUGCUUGUUGGGGGAAAACAUGAAAGUCAUGUUCUUAACUAGAAAUUGGAAAAAAAAAAUAGCGUUUUUAGUCCAUACACAAUUAAAUAAACUAACUAAAAAGUUUUUUUUAUUUUUAGUGCCCAAUUAAAUAAGUUUUCUUUUAUAACCAAAAGUGUAAACUUUUAUUAAAAUCUCGAGAGUUAUAAAUGCGUUUACUAAAUGAAUAAAUAAAAAGUUACAUAAUGAAGUCGAUGGCUGCAUGUGACACGUUCCGUUCAACAGCAUGAUAUCAAUGUCAUGAUGGCUGCAUGUGACACGUUCCGUUCAGGAGCAGUUGAGCAGCUUCGCACUCAUGCGCGUAGGCUUCAGAUCCCGAUAUUUGAAAAGGGAUAUGAGAAAGACCCUGCGAUUGUUGCUAAGGAAGCAAUUCAGGAAGCCACCCGUAACGGAUCAGACGUUGUUCUCAGCGGGUCGCACGCAGACAUUUGCAGGACAAUGAACCGUUGAUGCGUGCACUAUCCAAGCUUAUAUACGUCAACAGUCCAGAUCUUGUACUUUUUGUCGGGGAAGCAUUGGUCCGACAACAAUAUCUCCUAUUUUGGUUGUAUAAAAUCCUUUGGGACAUGUGUAUAGUUCUUACGGUGGAUGUUGUGGUGAUUCCCAACAAAGGGGGCGUGGCCAUCUAUUGAAGUCAUCACAAGUGCAAGUGGGUUUCGUUCUUGGUAGAUUUGGAUAUGUUUCGGCCUCGGUCAAACGGGUCAACACUAUUAAUCAUGUGUAUUUUUGCAAAAUUAGGAUGCUUUUUUGCUUGACUUAAAUUAGGACAAAUGCAGAUGUCCUUAUAUUGAUCCUUAUCUUUGUAUGUAUAACUGUCUCAAGCGGUACAAUGAUAUAUUUGGUGUGUUUUGUUUCCAAUGACAAUAUUUGUCAAUAACAAAUUUGACAUAUUCA